ACCGCAGCGAGAAAGUGUAGCUA
rnacentral:siRNA from 1 species